GGGACGCUUAUGUCCGAAAACGUUAUGUCGGAUUGGGAUUUGCUUUCUUUGCUAUAGUGCUUGAAUUUUGAAGAUUGAACUCUCUAUCAAAGAAUCUUGCCUGGCUUAAGGUUUUCCUCAAUGCUUGCUCUCAACCCUCAUAUCUUUCAAUAUUUGGUCUAUGAAUGAAAGUUCUAAUCUGCGAGAUUGGUUUGGAUACCUAUCUCACAAUUUGAACAAGCCUCUGUUGUUCCUUAGGAUGUCUUUUCUGUGUCUGUUGUUUUUGGCCUUCUCAUCAUCUGAAGGAUUCAACCCUGGACUGUGUGUUUCAUCUGCUCUUUACAGAUUACCAUCACCUGAAUAUAGAAUAUGUCUCUGUUUUCAUGGAUGGUUCUAAAUCCAUUAGCCAUAUGGGAUAUACUUUUGUCUACGAUA
rnacentral:lncRNA from 1 species